AAACAUUUCUCCAUCAGCAUCAAAUAUCCCACUAUCGCCUCCUUCGAACAUGUCACCACCACCUCAAUAUCCUACUGAUGACGCUUACCACCAGCCACCUCACUAUCCUACUGAUGACUCUUACCACCAGCCACCUCAAUAUCCUAAUGAUGACUCCUACCACCAGCCACCUCAAUAUCAUAAUGAUGACACUUACCACCAGCCACCUCACUAUCCUACUGAUGACUCUUACCACCAGCCACCUCAAUAUCCUAAUGAUGACUCCUACCACCAGCCACCUCAAUAUCAUAAUGAUGACACUUACCACCAGCCACCUCACUAUCCUACUGAUGACUCUUACCACCAGCCACCUCAAUAUCCUACCGAUGACACUUACCACCAGCCACCUUCAAGCAACAGAACAGAACAUUCUCCUUAUUCUCAUCAGCCGUAUCAUCCUCCACCCUACCAUCAAGAACCAAAGCAGCACUUACCGCAACAGUACCAUCCUCACGACGUUCCCCCAUACUCAUAUCCUAAUUUC
rnacentral:lncRNA from 1 species